rnacentral:rRNA from 1 species
UACGUAGGGUGCAAGCGUUGUCCGGAAUUAUUGGGCGUAAAGAGCUCGUAGGCGGUUUGUCGCGUCUGCUGUGAAAACUGGAGGCUCAACCUCCAGCCUGCAGUGGGUACGGGCAGACUAGAGUGCGGUAGGGGAGAUCGGAAUUCCUGGUGUAGCGGUGAAAUGCGCAGAUAUCAGGAGGAACACCGGUGGCGAAGGCGGAUCUCUGGGCCGUAACUGACGCUGAGGAGCGAAAGCAUGGGGAGCGAACAGG